rnacentral:lncRNA from 1 species
UUAGUCCAAAAAGUGAACAAUGUUCAAAACACAAGUGGUACCCCAACUAAUGAAAAUGUAGCAUGUGUUUGCCCUUUAUUCUAUAUGACAAUCGCAUGGUCAUUGAGGGUGCGUUUGGUUCGCUGUAUUGGAUUAGAGGUGUAUUGGAUUAGAGGUGUAUUGGGAUUAGAGGUGUAUUGGAUUAGAGGUGUAAUAGCUAAU